ensembl:lncRNA
AAGCAAAUGAAAAGGAAGGGGAGAUGCUGGCACAGGGAUGCUGGAGUAACCACUGGAGAAGACUGGGUGAAAGAUCACCUUCUGAGCUUAUAAGGAGAGGCACAUAAUUGAAGGAGUAAACACAGAAAUAGACCCAGGGGUGUGUGCACACAGACGAAAGAGCACGUAAGGACACAGAAGAGAGCUAUCUGCAAGCGGAGGGGAGAGGGGUCAGGAGAAGCCAGCCCUGCUGGCACCUUGAUCUUGGACUGCCAGCCUGCAGAACUACGAGAAAAUACACCUCUGCUGUUUAAGUCGCCCAGCGUGGAGUGGAGUGUUAGAGCAUCCUCGCAAACUAAUUGAGGGAGGAAACCAUGCCCACAUCACCCAUUAAAGACGGGCUGUUUUCUUGCAGGCCCCCAAAUGGAAAGAAUCAUGUGGUUUCUCACUCUAACACCAGGGGAUCUGCUUAGUUUCUGCCCCCUUCACUGCCCAGGGCAUAUUGUAAAAGCCAUCUGGACACUGUAAUUAUUCAUGGACUUCCGGGCCCACAUCCAAAUGGUCCUCAGACUGAGAGAAACCGAAGCUGAAAGCUGAGAACCAUCAAUCUCUGACGCGGAACUUUUUCAGAUGCUUUCUGAAAACUGAAUACACACCCGCUGACCAGAGCGUCCUGGGAUUUCUACAGGCUGGGGACUCCUGGAAACCCAGGGGGAGUCCACAAAAUCUAGCUCUUGAAACAGAGACUCGAAUUCCAGAAAUAACACAAAUGAUUUUGCUUAGAACAGUUAAAAGAAAGCUAAUGUUACUUUAAUUUGGGGAUUCUACAAAAU